rnacentral:rRNA from 1 species
UUAAGCGACUAAGCGUACACGGUGGAUGCCCUGGCAGUCAGAGGCGAUGAAGGACGUGCUAAUCUGCGAUAAGCGUCGGUAAGGUGAUAUGAACCGUUAUAACCGGCGAUUUCCGAAUGGGGAAACCCAGUGUGNNNNNNNNNNNNNNNNNNNNNNNNNNNNNNNNNNNNNNNNNNNNNNNNNNNNNNNNNNNNNNNNNNNNNNNNNNNNNNNNNNNNNNNNNNNNNNNNNNNNNNNNNNNNNNNNNNNNNNNNNNNNNCUGUGAGCUCGAUGAGUAGGGCGGGACACGUGGUAUCCUGUCUGAAUAUGGGGGGACCAUCCUCCAAGGCUAAAUACUCCUGACUGACCGAUAGUGAACCAGUACCGUGAGGGAAAGGCGAAAAGAACCCCGGCGAGGGGAGUGAAAAAGAACCUGAAACCGUGUACGUACAAGCAGUGGGAGCACGCUUAGGCGUGUGACUGCGUACCUUUUGUAUAAUGGGUCAGCGACUUAUAUUCUGUAGCAAGGUUAACCGAAUAGGGGAGCCGAAGGGAAACCGAGUCUUAACUGGGCGUUAAGUUGCAGGGUAUAGACCCGAAACCCGGUGAUCUAGCCAUGGGCAGGUUGAAGGUUGGGUAACACUAACUGGAGGACCGAACCGACUAAUGUUGAAAAAUUAGCGGAUGACUUGUGGCUGGGGGUGAAAGGCCAAUCAAACCGGGAGAUAGCUGGUUCUCCCCGAAAGCUAUUUAGGUAGCGCCUCGUGAAUUCAUCUCCGGGGGUAGAGCACUGUUUCGGCAAGGGGGUCAUCCCGACUUACCAACCCGAUGCAAACUGCGAAUACCGGAGAAUGUUAUCACGGGAGACACACGGCGGGUGCUAACGUCCGUCGUGAAGAGGGAAACAACCCAGACCGCCAGCUAAGGUCCCAAAGUCAUGGUUAAGUGGGAAACGAUGUGGGAAGGCCCAGACAGCCAGGAUGUUGGCUUAGAAGCAGCCAUCAUUUAAAGAAAGCGUAAUAGCUCACUGGUCGAGUCGGCCUGCGCGGAAGAUGUAACGGGGCUAAACCAUGCACCGAAGCUGCGGCAGCGACGCUNAUGCGUUGUUGGGUAGGGGAGCGUUCUGUAAGCCUGCGAAGGUGUGCUGUGAGGCAUGCUGGAGGUAUCAGAAGUGCGAAUGCUGACAUAAGUAACGAUAAAGCGGGUGAAAAGCCCGCUCGCCGGAAGACCAAGGGUUCCUGUCCAACGUUAAUCGGGGCAGGGUGAGUCGACCCCUAAGGCGAGGCCGAAAGGCGUAGUCGAUGGGAAACAGGUUAAUAUUCCUGUACUUGGUGUUACUGCGAAGGGGGGACGGAGAAGGCUAUGUUGGCCGGGCGACGGUUGUCCCGGUUUAAGCGUGUAGGCUGGUUUUCCAGGCAAAUCCGGAAAAUCAAGGCUGAGGCGUGAUGACGAGGCACUACGGUGCUGAAGCAACAAAUGCCCUGCUUCCAGGAAAAGCCUCUAAGCAUCAGGUAACAUCAAAUCGUACCCCAAACCGACACAGGUGGUCAGGUAGAGAAUACCAAGGCGCUUGAGAGAACUCGGGUGAAGGAACUAGGCAAAAUGGUGCCGUAACUUCGGGAGAAGGCACGCUGAUAUGUAGGUGAAGUCCCUCGCGGAUGGAGCUGAAAUCAGUCGAAGAUACCAGCUGGCUGCAACUGUUUAUUAAAAACACAGCACUGUGCAAACACGAAAGUGGACGUAUACGGUGUGACGCCUGCCCGGUGCCGGAAGGUUAAUUGAUGGGGUUAGCGCAAGCGAAGCUCUUGAUCGAAGCCCCGGUAAACGGCGGCCGUAACUAUAACGGUCCUAAGGUAGCGAAAUUCCUUGUCGGGUAAGUUCCGACCUGCACGAAUGGCGUAAUGAUGGCCAGGCUGUCUCCACCCGAGACUCAGUGAAAUUGAACUCGCUGUGAAGAUGCAGUGUACCCGCGGCAAGACGGAAAGACCCCGUGAACCUUUACUAUAGCUUGACACUGAACAUUGAGCCUUGAUGUGUAGGAUAGGUGGGAGGCUUUGAAGUGUGGACGCCAGUCUGCAUGGAGCCGACCUUGAAAUACCACCCUUUAAUGUUUGAUGUUCUAACGUUGACCCGUAAUCCGGGUUGCGGACAGUGUCUGGUGGGUAGUUUGACUGGGGCGGUCUCCUCCUAAAGAGUAACGGAGGAGCACGAAGGUUGGCUAAUCCUGGUCGGACAUCAGGAGGUUAGUGCAAUGGCAUAAGCCAGCUUGACUGCGAGCGUGACGGCGCGAGCAGGUGCGAAAGCAGGUCAUAGUGAUCCGGUGGUUCUGAAUGGAAGGGCCAUCGCUCAACGGAUAAAAGGUACUCCGGGGAUAACAGGCUGAUACCGCCCAAGAGUUCAUAUCGACGGCGGUGUUUGGCACCUCGAUGUCGGCUCAUCACAUCCUGGGGCUGAAGUAGGUCCCAAGGGUAUGGCUGUUCGCCAUUUAAAGUGGUACGCGAGCUGGGUUUAGAACGUCGUGAGACAGUUCGGUCCCUAUCUGCCGUGGGCGCUGGAGAACUGAGGGGGGCUGCUCCUAGUACGAGAGGACCGGAGUGGACGCAUCACUGGUGUUCGGGUUGUCAUGCCAAUGGCACUGCCCGGUAGCUAAAUGCGGAAGAGAUAAGUGCUGAAAGCAUCUAAGCACGAAACUUGCCCCGAGAUGAGUUCUCCCUGACUCCUUGAGAGUCCUGAAGGAACGUUGAAGACGACGACGUUGAUAGGCCGGGUGUGUAAGCGCAGCGAUGCGUUGAGCUAACCGGUACUAAUGAACCGUGAGGCUUAACCUU